GAGCGGUAUUGUUUCUUCGGAAAUGAGAGAGCGGCGUACGGGUGCGGAACACGUGUGCAACCUGCCUUUAUCUGGGGGAUAGCCUUUCGAAAGGAAGAUUAAUACCCCAUAAUAUUUAGAAUGGCAUCAUUUUAAAUUGAAAACUCCGGUGGAUAGAGAUGGGCACGCGCAAGAUUAGAUAGUUGGUGAGGUAACGGCUCACCAAGUCAGCGAUCUUUAGGGGGCCUGAGAGGGUGAUCCCCCACACUGGUACUGAGACACGGACCAGACUCCUACGGGAGGCAGCAGUGAGGAAUAUUGGACAAUGGGUGCAAGCCUGAUCCAGCCAUCCCGCGUGAAGGAUGACGGCCCUAUGGGUUGUAAACUUCUUUUGUAUAGGGAUAAACCUACUCUCGUGAGAGUAGCUGAAGGUACUAUACGAAUAAGCACCGGCUAACUCCGUGCCAGCAGCCGCGGUAAUACGGAGGGUGCAAGCGUUAUCCGGAUUUAUUGGGUUUAAAGGGUCCGUAGGCGGAUCUGUAAGUCAGUGGUGAAAUCUCACAGCUUAACUGUGAAACUGCCAUUGAUACUGCAGGUCUUGAGUGUUGUUGAAGUAGCUGGAAUAAGUAGUGUAGCGGUGAAAUGCAUAGAUAUUACUUAGAACACCAAUUGCGAAGGCAGGUUACUAAGCAACAACUGACGCUGAUGGACGAAAGCGUGGGGAGCGAACAGGAUUAGAUACCCUGGUAGUCCACGCCGUAAACGAUGCUAACUCGUUUUUGGGCUUUCGGGUUCAGAGACUAAGCGAAAGUGAUAAGUUAGCCACCUGGGGAGUACGUUCGCAAGAAUGAAACUCAAAGGAAUUGACGGGGGCCCGCACAAGCGGUGGAUUAUGUGGUUUAAUUCGAUGAUACGCGAGGAACCUUACCAAGGCUUAAAUGGGAAUUGAUCGGUUUAGAAAUAGACCUUCCUUCGGGCAAUUUUCAAGGUGCUGCAUGGUUGUCGUCAGCUCGUGCCGUGAGGUGUUAGGUUAAGUCCUGCAACGAGCGCAACCCCUGUCACUAGUUGCCAUCAUUAAGUUGGGGACUCUAGUGAGACUGCCUACGCAAGUAGAGAGGAAGGUGGGGAUGACGUCAAAUCAUCACGGCCCUUACGCCUUGGGCCACACACGUAAUACAAUGGCCGGUACAGAGGGCAGCUACACAGCGAUGUGAUGCAAAUCUCGAAAGCCGGUCUCAGUUCGGAUUGGAGUCUGCAACUCGACUCUAUGAAGCUGGAAUCGCUAGUAAUCGCGCAUCAGCCAUGGCGCGGUGAAUACGUUCCCGGGCCUUGUACACACCGCCCGUCAAGCCAUGGAAGU
rnacentral:rRNA from 1 species